rnacentral:rRNA from 1 species
AGAGACAGCAGUCGCCGCGGGAAUACGAAGGGGGCUAGCGUUGUUCGGAAUUACUGGGCGUAACGCGCACGUAGGCGGAUAUUUAAGUCAGGGGUGAAAUCCCAGAGCUCGACUCUGGAACUGCCUUUGAUGCUGGGUAUCUUGAGUAUGGAAGAGGUGAGUGGAAUUCCGAGUGUAGAGGUGAAAUUCGUAGAUAUUCGGAGGAACACCAGUGGCGAAGGCGGCUCACUGGUCCAUUACUGACGCUGAGGUGCGAAAGCGUGGGGAGCAAACAGGAUUAGAUACCCCCGUAGUCCCUGUCUCUUAUAC